rnacentral:sRNA from 1 species
UUGAAUGUUUUCUAGGGUUCCGCGAUUUCUAAAUCGGCUGGUCCGAGAGAAAACUCACAGCCUAUAGGUUGUGUCACGGAGGGAUAAAAGCCUGGGAGAU